UACGGGGGGGGCAAGCGUUGUUCGGGAUUACUGGGCGUAAAGGGCUGGUAGGCGGCCAACUAAGUCGGAUGUGAAAUCCCCAGGCUUAACCUGGGAACUGCAUCCGAUACUGGUCGGCUUGAAUCCGGGAGAGGGAUGCAGAAUUCCAGGUGUAGCGGUGAAAUGCGUAGAUAUCUGGAGGAAUACCGGUGGCGAAGGCGGCAUCCUGGACCGGCAUUGACGCUGAGGCGCGAAAGCUAGGGGAGCAAACAGG
rnacentral:rRNA from 1 species